AGAACGAACGCUGGCGGCAUGCCUAAUACAUGCAAGUCGAACGAACUCUUCGGAGUUAGUGGCACACGGGUGCGUAACGCGUGGGAAUCUGCCCCUUGGUUCGGAAUAACAGUUGGAAACGACUGCUAAUACCGGAUGAUGACGAAAGUCCAAAGAUUUAUCGCCAAGGGAUGAGCCCGCGUAGGAUUAGCUAGUUGGUGAGGUAAAGGCUCACCAAGGCAACGAUCCUUAGCUGGUCUGAGAGGAUGAUCAGCCACACUGGGACUGAGACACGGCCCAGACU
rnacentral:rRNA from 1 species